UUACGGGAGGCAGCAGUAGGGAAUUUUCCACAAUGGGCGCAAGCCUGAUGGAGCAACGCCGCGUGAGGGAUGAAGGUUUUCGGAUUGUAAACCUCUUUGAAGUGGGAAGAACGAUUUGCGGAUCAACAACCCGCAGAAGUGACGGUACCACUAAAACAAGUCACGGCUAACUCUGUGCCAGCAGCCGCGGUAAUACAGAGGUGACGAACGUUGUCCGGAAUCACUGGGCGUAAAGGGCGUGUAGGCGGUUGAUUAAGUCAGAUGUGAAAUCUCUUGGCUCAACCAGGAAAUUGCAUUUGAAACUGAUCAGCUAGAGUUCGGUAGAGGAAGGCGGAAUUCCAGGUGUAGCGGUGAAAUGCGUAGAUAUCUGGAGGAACACCUGUGGCGAAGGCGGCUUUCUGGUCCGAUACUGACGCUGAAACGCGAAAGCUAGGGGAGCAAACAGGAUUAGAUACCCCGGU
rnacentral:rRNA from 1 species